GAGGGAAUUGUUACGAAGUAGAGGACUCGACAGUCUUUUCCAACACCCAAUCACGUCUAUAAAUAGAAACCGAAAGAGGUCUUCCAUUCUCACAUAGAAGCUGAAGCAAAUAUGGGUUCCAAAGUGUUGGUGCUACUUGGUCUGUCCAUUGCUUUUACUCUUCUCAUCAGUUCAGAAGUCGCAGCUCGGGAUUUAGCUGAAACUACUCGAAAGACAACUGAUGCGGCGGUUGGUUACGGUGAGGUUUCUGGGCCUCAAACCCGCCGCCCUUACAACGGAAGAGGCCCCUACUACGGAGGAGGUGGAGGCAGCGGGGGAGGAGGCCCUUACAACAGAGGAGGCGGCAGGGGACGUGGAUGCUAUUACUCCUGCUAUGGAAGGUGUUGUUCUGCAGCUGAAGCUAAAGCACUCCAGGCAAUUACUACUAACCAAGUUAAGCCUCACAAUUAAGUGGAGGACUUCAUGCGUGCGUACUUGUAAUAUUAUUAUUAAUAUUUAUUAUAGCGGGAGCGCUAUUUAGUACUCCCUCCGUCCCUCCAGGUAGUUUAUGUUCACUGUUUGAAUGUAUUUUAAGGCUCCUAUAAAGUAUAGUUCCGUAAUGUUUUUAAAAAAAUUUCUUUUUUUGAAUAAGAGUUCAAACAUCAAACUUUUAUUCAGAAAUAAAAUAUUUUAAAAAUAUGUUAGAGAACUAUACUAUAAAUGAGUCUUAAAAAGCGUGUCAAAAAGUAACGUAAAGAAAUAAAGGGAACAGAGGGAGUAGUACCUAUAAAUAAAAUGUGUGUCCAAUCAAACGAUGGAUCCUGCUGUAAUUAUGCAUUUUAAGGUUUGAAUUUCCUUGUACUAUGAUCACUACUUAGUAUCAAAAGUUACUACA